rnacentral:rRNA from 1 species
CUGGCGGCGUGCCUAACACAUGCAAGUCGAGCGAUUCUCUUCGGAGAAGAGCGGCGGACGGGUGAGUAACGCUGGGUAACCUGCCUCAUACACAUGGAUAACAUACCGAAAGGUAUGCUAAUACAGGAUAAUAUAAGAGAUUCACAUGGAUUUCUUAUCAAAGCUCCGGCGGUAUGAGAUGGACCCGCGUCUGAUUAGCUAGUUGGUAAGGUAACGGCUUACCAAGGCGACGAUCAGUAGCCGACCUGAGAGGGUGAUCGGCCACAUUGGAACUGAGACACGGUCCAAACUCCUACGGGAGGCAGCAGUGGGGAAUAUUGCACAAUGGGCGGAAGCCUGAUGCCAGCAACGCCGCGUGAGUGAUGAAGGCCUUCGGGUCGUAAAACUCUGUCCUCAAGGAAGAUAAUGACGGUACUUGAGGAGGAAGCCCCGGCUAACUACGUGCCAGCAGCCGC